rnacentral:snRNA from 1 species
GGGCUCGUUUUGGCAGCACAUAUACUAAAACUGGAAUGAUACAGAGAAGAUUGCAUGGCCCCUGUGCAAGGAUGACAUGCAAAUUGGUGAGCUGUUCCAUAGUUUU